GCGAGUGAGCGGCAAAGCUCAAAUUUGAAAUCUAGCACCUUCGGUGUUCGAGUUGUAAUUUGAAGAUGGUAACCUUGGGUUUGGCUCUUGUCUAUGUUCCUUGGAACAGGACGUCAUAGAGGGUGAGAAUCCCGUCUGAUGAGAUGCCCAUUCCUAUGUAAGGUGCUAUCGAAGAGUCGAGUUGUUUGGGAAUGCAGCUCUAAGUGGGUGGUAAAUUCCAUCUAAAGCUAAAUAUUGGCGAGAGACCGAUAGCGAACAAGUACAGUGAUGGAAAGAUGAAAAGAACUUUGAAAAGAGAGUGAAAAAGUACGUGAAAUUGUUGAAAGGGAAGGGCAUUAGAUCAGACUUGGUGUUUUACGAUUAUCUUCUCUUCUUGAGUUGUGCACUCGUAUUUCACUGGGCCAGCAUCGAUUCGGAUGGCAAGAUAAUGGCAGUUGAAUGUGGCUUCACUUCGGUGGAGUGUUAUAGCUUCUGCUGAUAUUGCCUGUCUGGAUCGAGGGCUGCGUCUUUUGACUAGGAU
rnacentral:rRNA from 1 species